GGGGACCCAGAGCGUGGGGGGAUCCAGCGCGUGAGGGGACUCAGGGCGUGAGGGGGCCCGCGCACAGCGCUGCCAAACCUGUCUGUUGGAGAUGAAAUGGAACCUCAGGAAAAGCCCUCUCUCCGCCUAGAGAAACUCCUAGGAGUCACGAGGAAGCUGGGCGUACACAAGAAGUUUGGAGGUGACACAUCCAGAACAGCUGACCCCAACUUAUACAAGGGUUAUUCCAUACUUUGUGACAUCACAGUAUAUAAAGAAGGGGGAAGAAAGAAGAAAAAGUGAGGGGAUGUUUGGAGUGCUGGUGUUUGUCUUCAGAAGUAACUGUUACACAUGCUGGAGCUCUGCUGUCCUGGAGGUGGCUGAACACCUGAGUGCCCAUGGAAGAUUUGGUGGGGAUUACAGACUAGAUGGACUCUGAAGAAUAAAGUCCCCAUCCCAGAUCUCCAGCCUUUUGGAACAGUGGAGAACAGUGGGGUUUUCUUCUAGAAAAUAUGCCUGAAUUUCCUUUCCCUUAAGAUGAAAUAUGGUCUGGCACUCCUCAUCUCCCAGUACAGACAGAGCCUUAAAAGCCUUAUGACAGUAACACAAGAGAGACUGGUUCCAGGUCUCCUUUAUACUCAAGCUGCUGCUGGAUCAUUACUCAAAUAAAUCACUGUAAAUUCUCUUAGGAUUUAACAGACCUUAGAUGUAAAGAAGAAUUUUGUCUUCCAAUUUCAUACCAGUGGACAGUAUUAGGGUAUAGUGCUCCUUUGCCACUUUUUUUGGCAAGAUGUGUUUUAGGAGACAGAUUUUUAUAAUUUUUUUCUGCUUUAAAGAAAGAGUAAGAGGUUGACAUAAGCUGACAUUACAGUGUCAAGUAUUUUAAAAUAUUAAUUCACUUCACCUGAAGAGUUCAAAUGAGAGACUUAAGAGCCUUAAGUAAUGUCCUCCUCUCUCUAGCCCCCCAGAGGAGAUGCCUUCCAGUCAGUGUAGUGGGCAGACUGGGCUGGUAUUUUUUUAUUGGCAGCUGCUUUUCUGUGUAAAUAGUUUAUUUUCCUACAGCUUUUGUUAUUAAUAUUGUUGCUAUUACUGUUUCAUUUUGCUGUUUGUUUUCUAGUCUCGUUGUUUCCUGUAAACUGUUCCUAUUUCAACUCGUGGUCUCUGCCUUUUGUGCAUCUGACUGCUGGAGGGGGAGCAAUUGGCAGCAUUGUUUAAGUUUUAUUAACCUACACUGCUAAAUUCAACCAACCUGCCUCCCCCCUACAAAGACACAACUAAAAACAUCCAACAAAAAAAAAUUGCAGCUUUGCAAAUCUCAAGCUGUGCUGGAAAUUUUAAAAUUCCAUGCCCCUUUUUCAUUUACUUUUCAUUAAUGAAGAAAAGAAAGACUUCAAGCUCUUUCUAAAUCUACAUUCCCAGGAGAUUUUAUGGCAGCACAAUAUCAAAACUAAAUCUGCAGUACUGGAGACCCCUAAAGAGCAAAGCAAAGGUUACAAGUAUUGCACAGGAGAAGCUUACAUAAAACACUCUUGUGAAAUAGAAUGGAACUGUAAUGUUGCUAUUCUCAGAGUUUUUCAAGGUCACAAACUAGUCAUUUAUUAUUUUUCUGAGAACCAAAUCUUGUCUAGCCUCAGAUCACUACAUUUGUAACACAGGACACAGUUCUUCACAAGAGGGCAAGAGCAAAAACUUGAUUUCUAAAGAACUGGUUUUAUGUUUCAAAGUAGGGGCAAUCUGUCAAUCUGUACCCUCUCUGGUGUAACAAUGCCAAAUUCCUUUAAUGAAUGAGUGUAAGGAUGCACCACAUAGAACACAAAUUAUUAAAUAAGGUGUAAAUAUAAAC